rnacentral:miRNA from 1 species
AUAAAGCUAGGUUACCAAAGAU